UACGUAGGGUCCGAGCGUUGUCCGGAAUUAUUGGGCCUAAAGCAUCCGUAGCCGGUUCUACAAGUCUUCCGUUAAAUCCACCUGCUCAACAGAUGGGCUGCGGAAGAUACUAUGGAGCUAGGAGGCGGGAGAGGCAAGCGGUACUCGAUGGGUAGGGGUAAAAUCCGUUGAUCCAUUGAAGACCACCAGUGGCGAAGGCGGCUUGCCAGAACGCGCUCGACGGUGAGGGAUGAAAGCUGGGGGAGCAAACCGG
rnacentral:rRNA from 1 species